AAGUUCUGGAUAAAGCUUAUUAUGAAAACUUUAUAUCCAUAGGUCUCGACCAAAUCUUGUGCCAGCAGUCGCGGUAAGACAAGGGAGACGAGUGUUAUUCAUCUUUAACAGGUAUAUAGGGUACCUAGACGGUGUGCAAUGGCUUAAAUAAGUACCUGGUACACUUGAGUUUGAUAUGUGAGAGGAAUAUGUCGGAAUUGUUGGAGGAAGAUGAAAUUUGUUAAUACCAAUAGGACUGAUAACGGCGAAGACGACUCACCUAC
rnacentral:rRNA from 1 species